UGGGGAAUAUUGCGCAAUGGGGGAAACCCUGACGCAGCAACGCCGCGUGAGUGAAGAAGGCCUUCGGGUUGUAAAGCUCUUUAAUCAGGGACGAAUUUUGACGGUACCUGAAGAAUAAGCUCCGGCUAACUACGUGCCAGCAGCCGCGGUAAUACGUAGGGAGCAAGCGUUAUCCGGAUUUACUGGGUGUAAAGGGCGCGCAGGCGGGAGAGCAAGUUGGGAGUGAAAUACCGGGGCUUAACCCCGGAACUGCUUUCAAAACUGUUCUUCUUGAGUGAUGGAGAGGCAGGCGGAAUUCCGUGUGUAGCGGUGAAAUGCGUAGAUAUACGGAGGAACACCAGUGGCGAAGGCGGCCUGCUGGACAUUAACUGACGCUGAGGCGCGAAAGCGUGGGGAGCAAACAGG
rnacentral:rRNA from 1 species